rnacentral:rRNA from 1 species
GGGUGAGUAACACGUGGUAUGACCUGCCCUCGGACGGGAUAGCCCGGGGAAACUCGGAUUAAUACCGGAUGCCUUCCGGCUCACGAGCCGGUCGGAAAAGGUAGCUUCGGCCUCCGGCCGAGGAUGGGUCCUGCGGCGGAUUAGCUUGUUGGUGGGGUAACGGCCUACCAAGGUCCGAUCCGUAGCUGGUCUGAGAGGACGAUCAGCCACAUUGGGACUGAGACAGGGUCCAGAAUUCCAUACGGGAGGCAGCAGUGGGGAAUCUUGCGCAAUGGGCGAAAGCCUGACGCAGCGACGCCGCGUGAGGGAGGAAGGCCUUCGGGUUGUAAACCUCUUUCAGGAGGGACGAAGCCACUCGGGUGAAUAGCCCAGAGGGUGACGGUACCUCCAGAAGAAGCCCCGGCUAAACUAACGUGCCAGCCGCCGCGG